rnacentral:Y_RNA from 1 species
GGCUGGUCCGAAGGCAGUGAGUUAACUCAUUUGAUUGUUCAAAGUCAGUUACAGAUUGAACUCCUUGUUCUACUACCUCCCUUCUCACUACUGCACUUGACUAGUCUAGG